UACGUAGGGUGCGAGCGUUGUCCGGAAUUACUGGGCGUAAAGAGCUCGUAGGUGGUUUGUCGCGUUGUUCGUGAAAACUCACAGCUCAACUGUGGGCGUGCGGGCGAUACGGGCAGACUGGAGUACUGCAGGGGAGACUGGAAUUCCUGGUGUAGCGGUGGAAUGCGCAGAUAUCAGGAGGAACACCGGUGGCGAAGGCGGGUCUCUGGGCAGUAACUGGCGCUGAGGAGCGAAAGCGUGGGGAGCAAACAGG
rnacentral:rRNA from 1 species